rnacentral:rRNA from 1 species
UACGUAGGGUGCAAGCGUUGUCCGGAAUUACUGGGCGUAAAGAGCUCGUAGGCGGUUUGUCGCGUCGUCUGUGAAAACUCGAGGCUCAACCUCGAGCUUGCAGGCGGUACGGGCAGACUUGAGUACUGCAGGGGAGACUGGAAUUCCUGGUGUAGCGGUGAAAUGCGCAGAUAUCAGGAGGAACACCGGUGGCGAAGGCGGGUCUCUGGGCAGUAACUGACGCUGAGACGCGAAAGCGUGGGGAGCGAACAGG